ACUGAGCGGCGGACGGGUGAGUAACGCGUGGGUAACCUACCUCAUACAGGGGGAUAACAGUUAGAAAUGGCUGCUAAUACCGCAUAAGACCACGGUACUGCAUGGUACAGUGGUAAAAACUCCGGUGGUAUGAGAUGGACCCGCGUCUGAUUAGGUAGUUGGUGGGGUAACGGCCUACCAAGCCGACGAUCAGUAGCCGACCUGAGAGGGUGACCGGCCACAUUGGGACUGAGACACGGCCCAA
rnacentral:rRNA from 1 species